UGGUGGAUGCCUAGGCUCACGGAGGCGACGAAGGGCGUGGUAAGCUGCGAAAAGCCGCGGGUAGGCGCAAACGGCCUGUAAUCCGCGGAUACCCGAAUGGGACAACCCGGCAUCCUAUGGAUGCCAUCAUGCCGGUGGCAUGAGGCCAACGCGGGGAACUGAAACAUCUUAGUACCCGCAGGAAAAGAAAACAAGAGUGAUUCCCCCAGUAGUGGCGAGCG
rnacentral:rRNA from 16 species